rnacentral:rRNA from 1 species
UACGUAGGGUGCGAGCGUUAAUCGGAAUUACUGGGCGUAAAGCGUGCGCAGGCGGAUUGUUAAGCAAGAUGUGAAGUCCCCGGGCUUAACCUGGGAAUGGCAUUUUGAACUGGCAGUCUAGAGUGUGUCAGAGGGGGGUGGAAUUCCACGUGUAGCAGUGAAAUGCGUAGAGAUGAGGAGGAACACCAGUGGCGAAGGCAGGCCCCUGGGAUAUCACUGACACUCAUGUACGAAAGCGUGGGUAGCAAACAGG